GGGUUGUGAGGUUAAGCGACUAAGCGUACACGGUGGAUGCCCUGGCAGUCAGAGGCGAUGAAGGACGUGCUAAUCUGCGAUAAGCGCCGGUAAGGUGAUAUGAACCGUUAUAACCGGCGAUUUCCGAAUGGGGAAACCCAGUGUGACUCGUCACACUAUCAUUAACUGAAUCCAUAGGUUAAUGAGGCGAACCGGGGGAACUGAAACAUCUAAGUACCCCGAGGAAAAGAAAUCAACCGAGAUUCCCCCAGUAGCGGCGAGCGAACGGGGAGGAGCCCAGAGCCUGAAUCAGCAUGUGUGUUAGUGGAAGCGUCUGGAAAGGCGCGCGAUACAGGGUGACAGCCCCGUACACAAAAGCGCAUGUGCUGUGAGCUCGAUGAGUAGGGCGGGACACGUGGUAUCCUGUCUGAAUAUGGGGGGACCAUCCUCCAAGGCUAAAUACUCCUGACUGACCGAUAGUGAACCAGUACCGUGAGGGAAAGGCGAAAAGAACCCCGGCGAGGGGAGUGAAAAAGAACCUGAAACCGUGUACGUACAAGCAGUGGGAGCCCCACCACUAAGCCAGUGGUGAACUCCACAUACGCAUCCUUUGCUGAUGGCAAUGGUUAACGGAGCGAAAGCGACGUUCAACCGCAAAACAAGCAGAGGGGGCUUAGUGGUGGGGUGACUGCGUACCUUUUGUAUAAUGGGUCAGCGACUUAUAUUCUGUAGCAAGGUUAACCGUAUAGGGGAGCCGCAGGGAAACCGAGUCUUAACCGGGCGUUAAGUUGCAGGGUAUAGACCCGAAACCCGGUGAUCUAGCCAUGGGCAGGUUGAAGGUUGGGUAACACUAACUGGAGGACCGAACCGACUAAUGUUGAAAAAUUAGCGGAUGACCUGUGGCUGGGGGUGAAAGGCCAAUCAAACCGGGAGAUAGCUGGUUCUCCCCGAAAGCUAUUUAGGUAGCGCCUCGUGAAUUCAUCUCCGGGGGUAGAGCACUGUUUCGGCUAGGGGGCCAUCCCGGCUUACCAACCCGAUGCAAACUGCGAAUACCGGAGAAUGUUAUCACGGGAGACACACGGCGGGUGCUAACGUCCGUCGUGAAGAGGGAAACAACCCAGACCGCCAGCUAAGGUCCCAAAGUCAUGGUUAAGUGGGAAACGAUGUGGGAAGGCCCAGACAGCCAGGAUGUUGGCUUAGAAGCAGCCAUCAUUUAAAGAAAGCGUAAUAGCUCACUGGUCGAGUCGGCCUGCGCGGAAGAUGUAACGGGGCUAAACCAUGCACCGAAGCUGCGGCAGCGACACUGUGUGUUGUUGGGUAGGGGAGCGUUCUGUAAGCCUGCGAAGGUGGCCUGUGAGGGUUGCUGGAGGUAUCAGAAGUGCGAAUGCUGACAUAAGUAACGAUAAAGCGGGUGAAAAGCCCGCUCGCCGGAAGACCAAGGGUUCCUGUCCAACGUUAAUCGGGGCAGGGUGAGUCGACCCCUAAGGCGAGGCCGAAAGGCGUAGUCGAUGGGAAACGGGUUAAUAUUCCCGUACUUGGUGUUACUGCGAAGGGGGGACGGAGAAGGCUAUGUUGGCCGGGCGACGGUUGUCCCGGUUUAAGCGUGUAGGUGUGUGUUCCAGGUAAAUCCGGUUCACUUUAACACUGAGGCGUGACGACGAGGCACUACGGUGCUGAAGCAACAAAUGCCCUGCUUCCAGGAAAAGCCUCUAAGCAUCAGGUAACAUCAAAUCGUACCCCAAACCGACACAGGUGGUCAGGUAGAGAAUACCAAGGCGCUUGAGAGAACUCGGGUGAAGGAACUAGGCAAAAUGGUGCCGUAACUUCGGGAGAAGGCACGCUGACAUGUAGGUGAAGUGAUUUACUCAUGGAGCUGAAGUCAGUCGAAGAUACCAGCUGGCUGCAACUGUUUAUUAAAAACACAGCACUGUGCAAACACGAAAGUGGACGUAUACGGUGUGACGCCUGCCCGGUGCCGGAAGGUUAAUUGAUGGGGUCAGCGCAAGCGAAGCUCCUGAUCGAAGCCCCGGUAAACGGCGGCCGUAACUAUAACGGUCCUAAGGUAGCGAAAUUCCUUGUCGGGUAAGUUCCGACCUGCACGAAUGGCGUAAUGAUGGCCAGGCUGUCUCCACCCGAGACUCAGUGAAAUUGAACUCGCUGUGAAGAUGCAGUGUACCCGCGGCAAGACGGAAAGACCCCGUGAACCUUUACUAUAGCUUGACACUGAACAUUGAGCCUUGAUGUGUAGGAUAGGUGGGAGGCUUUGAAGUGUGGACGCCAGUCUGCAUGGAGCCGACCUUGAAAUACCACCCUUUAAUGUUUGAUGUUCUAACGUGGACCCGUAAUCCGGGUUGCGGACAGUGUCUGGUGGGUAGUUUGACUGGGGCGGUCUCCUCCUAAAGAGUAACGGAGGAGCACGAAGGUUGGCUAAUCCUGGUCGGACAUCAGGAGGUUAGUGCAAUGGCAUAAGCCAGCUUGACUGCGAGCGUGACGGCGCGAGCAGGUGCGAAAGCAGGUCAUAGUGAUCCGGUGGUUCUGAAUGGAAGGGCCAUCGCUCAACGGAUAAAAGGUACUCCGGGGAUAACAGGCUGAUACCGCCCAAGAGUUCAUAUCGACGGCGGUGUUUGGCACCUCGAUGUCGGCUCAUCACAUCCUGGGGCUGAAGUAGGUCCCAAGGGUAUGGCUGUUCGCCAUUUAAAGUGGUACGCGAGCUGGGUUUAGAACGUCGUGAGACAGUUCGGUCCCUAUCUGCCGUGGGCGCUGGAGAACUGAGGGGGGCUGCUCCUAGUACGAGAGGACCGGAGUGGACGCAUCACUGGUGUUCGGGUUGUCAUGCCAAUGGCACUGCCCGGUAGCUAAAUGCGGAAGAGAUAAGUGCUGAAAGCAUCUAAGCACGAAACUUGCCCCGAGAUGAGUUCUCCCUGAGACUUAAAGUCUCCUGAAGGAACGUUGAAGACGACGACGUUGAUAGGCCGGGUGUGUAAGCGCAGCGAUGCGUUGAGCUAACCGGUACUAAUGAACCGUGAGGCUUAACCUUACAACGCCGAAG
rnacentral:rRNA from 1 species